UCUUCUUGAUGCUUUACGAAUCACCAUUUCAAUGAUGUAUGUAUGCAAGUGCAACACUAUCUCAUUUCUCUCUGAACCGUUGGUUGCAGGAUUUGACUAUUGUUUUAUCAACACUUCUACCUGUGAUAUCUAUGAAUAAUGAUGGCAAAGAUCAAUCAGAUUUCUCUGUGGGACUAAAGUAUGGCAGAAACAUUGCUGGAAGGAGUUGUUAAGAGACAAGUAUAAGAGCAUAAAGUUGAGGAGUUUAAUGCCAUGGGAAAGGGAAGCGUAACCAGAAGCUGCUAAGCAUUAAUAUUGGAAGAUGUUAGCUUUGAUGAUAAUUAUGAAGCAGAGCUUACUGAUGGGGAUUCAAAUUCCAUUGGAACUGGAACUACAACUCC